UGCUUCACUUAGUGAACGUAUUUGGCCACUACACCACGUGAGUCCCUGGGCUGGUCCUGGGCUGGCAGCAAAGAGAAUGCUACACAUUUCCUGCCUUCCCGCCUCCACACUUUCCCAGGACAAGCUAGGAAGCAAAUAAAUAGUCACACACACAGCAGGACAGGCUCUUGCGAGGGAUACGUAGGGCCUCCAGGGCCAAGCCCCAUGCCUAGGACCUAGCAGGUGGCAGCAUCAGCUGCAAAGCGGUUUACUACAGCUUAGGCUGAAUCAUGAUCCUCAAAAAUGUCCGAGUCUUAAGCCCAGUAGUUGGAGAUCACGUUAUCUUGUGUGGUAAAAGGGACUUUGCAGAUGGGAUUAAGUUAAGGAUCUCGAGGUGGGGAGAUUAUCUUGAGGGCUCUGAUGUAUCCUCCCUCGUGUGGCUGGCUGCACACUCCAGGUCCUUACAAGAAGGAGGCAGAGAGGAGGUGAGGGGUGAUGGAAGCAGAGGUUGGAACAGUGUGUUUGCAGUGAUCAAAAAUUGUCAGUUGAGGAAAUGAACACAGGCAAUCAGCAAACGAGACAGCCACAAACCCACAAGCAGCAACUUCCUAAGCCCGAGUCCCUUCUGAAGUGGUGGGAGAGGUCACAGCUGAGGAACACAGCUGGCCACCCCUGCUCAAGGGAACACCUGCCUCUGGCUGCCUCCUGUUCCAGGGAAGCCUGGGAGAUGAGAUGCGCUCACGGUGCACAACACUUUCUGAAACAAACUGGGAUUCAAGCGCUAAGGAAGAGGGAGAGGAAGAAUCCUGGCAGUGCAAAUGCCCUGCGUUCUCCGUAAUGUUCAAAGGCGUCUGCCGGAGGACUCAGGGGACGCAGGAAGGGGGCAGGGGUCAGGCUGGAGAGCUGUUCACCUUGGGGAGCAGGUGGGGACUGCACCCAGGCACGGUGAGGGUUGGAGGGCAUCGGAGCGAUGAUACCAAGCUCCAGGAGGCCGAGUGGAGAAUUGGGGUGACACAGGGACCUGACUCGGGCAGGUAGCAGGUAGCAGGUGGCAAAGCAUCUCCCCUGGACGUGGAAGGCAGGGUUAUCCGGGGUCUUCUGAGUUCAAGGAGCUCAGUCCCCUCAGCCUCCCUUCCUGCCUGCUUCUCCAGGCUGCUACGCUGCAGGCUGCCAUCCUGGGUGAGCGCAGCACUAUUUGGGGGUUCUGUUCUUUCUCCUCGUCACCCUCUUUCUGUCUGAGCCAACCUUCCCAGAGUCAAACCCGCUGGGCCGUGCUCAUCAGCCUCCACCCCGGGGCCCUGCUCUUGGCUUUCUGGCAAACACCUGCUGCAUGCGGUCAGGUUGGUUUCUUGUGGGGCAGAGGGGAAAGCAUACGGGUGUGGUGCUCUUGUGUACUGAGUCACGGCCCAGGGUUCUCUGCUUCAGAUGCUGUGUCCCUCUGCACAGGUGACUCUGUGGAGACCCACAGGCCCUUGUGAACUCAGCACUGAAGCUGCUGUCUUUCUCUGGGCACGGAUCCACAGCUGUCCACCUGGGGUCAGCCUUGGAGCUAAGGGUCUGGACGAAAGGUCAGAGCCUUGUUUCAUUUAGCAGAGGCUGUGAGAGUCACUGGUCAUCAGCAUCCACAUCCUUGUGGAGCGCAGCUGGACCCCACCUUCCAGCCUCUGUGCCCUUGGGAAUGGCUGUGCGACUACGAGUAAUGAAUGGAGUGGGGACAAGGGGCUCCGCUUCCAGGCGAGGCCUUAAGAAACCCACUGACCCUCCAGGGAAGGUGAAGAACAGAGCUCUGGGCCCUGGCGAGCUGUGGGUCCGCGCUAGGAAGGGCCUGGGUUUCGCCACGCAGAAGGGUGUCUGUGGAUCUCGCACGUGUGUGACGGUGGUGACCUCCACUGCGUCCUGCUGUGGGGCUCGGGGGCGUCUGCUCCAGCGCGUGCGGUCAUUUACCCCGGGCCAGCACCCUCUGCUCCUUCUUUCGAACAGGAAGUACAGCAUGGUGGUUUACAGAAGCCUUGGGAAUAGAACUAAACUCACAGCCUAGGCCUUCCGCUCCCCGGCUGUGUGGCCCAGGCUAAGUUACUUUCCCUCUCUGCCCCUGAUCACAUAAUACGUCAGGCAGUGGAUAGAGCCAGCCGAGUGCUGCGUUCUGACCGUGCACUGAGCUUGGUGCUGUGACCGGUCCAUAGUGGGCUCGUAGUGUUGCUCUUCCUCAUCAAGGGCCCUCGCCCCAGGCCCUGGGGAGGGACAGGCCAGGCCCAAGGCAGUGAUCGCUGCUCCUCCUGGCUUUCUCCCUUCUUGGAGUUUUUGCAGGAUUAUGGUCACUGCCACGCACCCCGGCAUUUCUCCUAGAGCUAACUUAGGCUGCUUGUACCUCUGUAUAACUUAUUUCCAUUUAUGCCGUUUCUCUGUUCGGAGUGGAAAACUUGUGACAGCAGAGACCAGCGCGUGCUUUGAUUUGUUCAUCUCCUGGCAGUGCUGAGCGGAGACAGCGCUGCCCAGGUCCAAGAGGCCCGUGAGUGGUUGAUUCCGGCAGCAGCUCCGUCUAAGCAGGGACAUGGACUCCCGCGUCGCCCAGGCCUGGCUUCGAGUCCUGGCCCCACUGCGACAGCUGCCACUCUCUCGACCUUUGUUCGAGACUUGGAAAUGACAAUGCCGACCUCUCAUGAUGAGGGCGCAGAGGAAGUGCUGGGCGAGGGAGGGGUAGCCACGGCGACUGUCCUCCCCCACAGCAGCCGCUCCUUCUGUGGUCAGCACAACCUUCCUGAGUGUCCCUCACAUUCCAGGAGCCGAGUCUUCUGCGGAGGGUGGGCCCUGGUGCUGACCAAGCCUUGAGUUAGGCCUGCUUCGGUCCGAGUGCAUCAGAAACCCAAGCUACACUGGCUCAGCCCGAGGAGGGGGUUCCCCCAUACGCAGCAGUUCGGGGCAGGGGCGCAAGGCGGCCGUGGCGCCUCCCCAGCUCCCUCUGGCCAGGCGCCUUCUAUUUUCCUGCCUCAGUUUCGGUGAAGAAGUUUCAUCCUUGUUGUUACCAGAUGGCUGCUCCACUUCCAAUUCUUCAGCCACAUUCCAGAAAGAAAGAAGGAGAGGGAAGAAGAAGAGGAAAAAGAAGAGGGGAAAGAGGAGCACACGUCUGCUGAAGGUCUCGUCAGGAUGGCAUCACACGGCCACCACCAGCUGACGAUUCCAGCUCAAAUUUGGUUCUGUUCGUGAGGGGAAAGGGGAGAAUGGUUGCUGCACGCAGCUGCGGUGCCAGCUGGGUGUGCUGGGUACUGAAUGCAUCUGUAAACAAGUCCGGCCGCGUACUGAAUGCAUCUGUAAACAAGUCCGGCCGCUCUGCCGAGCCACUGGUGCCUUCCCCUCAGUGCCUGGGUUUAAUCUCCCCGGGAAAUGGGGGUGGAACACGAGUGCCGCCCCUCCUAACCCCUCCCCACCCCAAGCUCCUGAGUUGGACAGUUCUUCCCUCUGAUCUCCACUUCUCAUCCCCAUGACAGAGAGGACACUGGAACCCAGGGCUUUGGCUUGGGCAUUGCGGAUCCCAGAGCAGGCAGGCUGCUGAAGAUGUUCGGGAUGUCGGGGAGGAAAUGAACUGGGGCUGGAAGGAACAUGGUGGGAUACUGUGGUCAGUGGGUCAGAUGAUGGCUUUGGGCUUCUUGACCACACAGCUUUGAAUCCUGGUUUUGCCACUAUUGUGACCUUGGCAAGCUGAUGACCCCUGAAAUCUGUGGCAGCAGUAGUGACAGGUCAAUUAAUGAGCACAUGAACAGGUCCUAACAUACUCGAA